rnacentral:lncRNA from 1 species
GGCCGGUUGUUCAAAAGCUGAUUAGCUUAACCCUAGGUUAACGUAAAAUUCAAAGUACACUUCCUGACAGCUUGUUUAUAAAUUUGGAAAUAUUUCUUCACAAAUCAUGUCUGGAUCAAUAGGAGUUUUCUCUUCUGACUUUUUGAAAUAAAUGGACAUGCAGAAAUAUGCAAACUAAAACAGCAGGUUAAAUUUUAACCCUGGGUUAGCGCUAAUCCACCUUUGAACAACCGGCCC